CGUUGCCCAGACAACUAGGAUGUUGGCUUAGAAGCAGCCAUCAUUUAAAGAGUGCGUAAUAGCUCACUAGUCGAGUGACACUGCGCCGAAAAUGUACCAGGGCUAAACAUAUUACCGAAGCUGUGGAUUGUCCUUUGGACAAUGGUAGGAGAGCGUUCUAAGGGCGUUGAAGCAUGAUCGUAAGGACAUGUGGAGCGCUUAGAAGUGAGAAUGCCGGUGUGAGUAGCGAAAGACGGGUGAGAAUCCCGUCCACCGAUUGACUAAGGUUUCCAGAGGAAGGCUCGUCCGCUCUGGGUUAGUCGGGUCCUAAGCUGAGGCCGACAGGCGUAGGCGAUGGAUAACAGGUUGAUAUUCCUGUACCACCUAUAAUCGUUUUAAUCGAUGGGGGGACGCAGUAGGAUAGGCGAAGCGUGCGAUUGGAUUGCACGUCUAAGCAGUAAGGCUGAGUAUUAGGCAAAUCCGGUACUCGUUAAGGCUGAGCUGUGAUGGGGAGAAGACAUUGUGUCUUCGAGUCGUUGAUUUCACACUGCCGAGAAAAGCCUCUAGAUAGAAAAUAGGUGCCCGUACCGCAAACCGACACAGGUAGUCAAGAUGAGAAUUC
rnacentral:rRNA from 2 species